GAUGAACGCUGGCGGCGUGCCUAAUACAUGCAAGUCGAGCGAACGGACGAGAAGCUUGCUUCUCUGAUGUUAGCGGCGGACGGGUGAGUAACACGUGGAUAACCUACCUAUAAGACUGGGAUAACUUCGGGAGACCGGAGCUAAUACCGGAUGAUAUUUUGAACCGCAUGGUUCAAAAGUGAAAGACGGUCUUGCUGUCACUUAUAGAUGGAUCCGCGCUGCAUUAGCUAGUUGGUAAGGUAACGGCUUACCAAGGCAACGAUGCAUAGCCGACCUGAGAGGGUGAUCGGCCACACUGGAACUGAGACACGGUCCAGACUCCUACGGGAGGCAGCAGUAGGGAAUCUUCCGCAAUGGGCGAAAGCCUGACGGAGCAACGCCGCGUGAGUGAUGAAGGUCUUCGGAUCGUAAAACUCUGUUAUUAGGGAAGAACAUAUGUGUAAGUAACUGUGCACAUCUUGACGGUACCUAAUCAGAAAGCCACGGCUAACUACGUG
rnacentral:rRNA from 1 species